GAGGUAAAGGUGGGUAGAAAACACAAAACGAACAAUUGAGCAUAAUUUACAACAAAUCCUUUUAUCGAUAAAUAAAACCUUUACCAUUUACUUACCUCGGUGAAAUUCAUAAAACAAUAUACGAGAGCAAUAACAUCAUUAUCAUCAUGGAAACAUAUAUAUGAACUGUAUAACAUAAUACCUAUCACGCUUUUCGUAAUUCAAUCGUUACACAACAUAUUUUCCUAAUUCACCAGCCCACUAAUAUCCAUGGGGAUCCAUAGGGGUCCCGCUACCCGUAAAUCCGUAAUACUUGAAAUCAAAUUCCAGGGCCGUCCCCAUACCCCGUCCGGUAUGGGCGCCAAACCAUAGACCUCAUUACCCCGUCCGGUAUGAGGGUGAAACGGGCCGUCCCCAUACCCCGUCCGGUAUGGGCGCCAAAACACAUAAGAUCUCCAUACCCCGUCCGGUAUGGGAGAUCACAAUCCCGGUAGGGUCCCCUACGGACCCGGUCCGUCCACCAUCUCCCAGGAUAUCUAGUCAGGCUGAUCACAUUAUACCAUUAUCCAUUUACAUAAUUGUUCGUUCUCUUUUUCCUCAAUCAGCAUCAUUAAUCCACAUACAAGCAAGCAAAACGAUAAUUUAUGCUAAGCAGACAACAUACAGCAUCAAUAUCCCGGUCAUCUAAUCCAUAAUCAAUAAAACAGUAAAACAUGCACACGAAACUAUAAAAUGAAAACAUCGAACCUCAUGCUACGUUUAAAACUGUAAAACAGGCCAAAUAACAAUUAACCGAUAAACACACUAGACUCGGGCUCCAUUAGCGACCCUAAGCAAUUUCACACAUUCGUUGAUUCAUGA
rnacentral:lncRNA from 1 species